UCAAACUGAAGAUGGCGACCGGCGCACGGGUGAGUAACACGUAUCCAACCUGCCGAUAACUCCGGAAUAGCCUUUCGAAAGAAAGAUUAAUACCGGAUGGCAUACGAAUAUCGCAUGAUAUUUUUAUUAAAGAAUUUCGGUUAUCGAUGGGGAUGCGUUCCAUUAGUUUGUUGGCGGGGUAACGGCCCACCAAGACUACGAUGGAUAGGGGUUCUGAGAGGAAGGUCCCCCACAUUGGAACUGAGACACGGUCCAAACUCCUACGGGAGGCAGCAUG
rnacentral:rRNA from 1 species